CCUACCCAGCCCUCCAUACAGUUUUGAAACCCAGAUGUGGCCCUCCGGCCAAAAAGUUUACCCACCCCUGUUCUAAGGGAUGGUAGUAGGGAGAGCAGCAGAAUAAAGAUAAUGGAUUUCAAAAAGGCCAAUUUUAGCAAACUCAGGAAGUUGCACCCAUUGCCAUGGUAUAUAAGUGCCUGACCAAGAAAAACUGCCGAGUAUCUCCAUAAGUCCCUAUCUGAUACUUGAAGCUUAGCUCAAGUCCACUGAACAACCUUUCUAUGAGCCUGGCCCAAGCCUUGUGUUUGAAAUGAAACCUGGAACCGGGCUGAAUUAUCUCUUCGGGAAUGAACGAGGAUUCAAAAUGGAGACUCAUUUUUGGGUGAAAUGUAACAAGAAUUUGGUGAUCACAGUAUCCGACAAAUGACAUCUUUCCCCCUAGGUCACCAACAUUUCAAUUUAAAUCUGCAGAAAAUCAAUUUUGGGAGAAAAUGGAGCUGUGACUGGUAGAAAGACAAGCCAGAAAACAGCGUUACAUUUAAUCUACUCCUUCCAUGUCAGCAUCUAGUGUUUGCUCCGUGGGCUGAUCUUGAGCAGGCUGCUCUGCUGGGGCUCCUUCACAUUUUUCAGUAGAUUUCGGAGCAAGACUCAGCGGCCCAGAGGGAUUCCCUGCCUCUGGCUGCGGGGUGGGAUGGAAAGGAAGCCCUGGCUCUGUGAGACAAAGAGAACUGCAUGCUUGAAGGUCAGCUGGCUCUGGAUUACUGUUCUCACUGGAGACUGUGAGGGGAUCCUGCACGUGAUGGGUCACCAUGAAUGCUGCAGCUAGAUUCUUCAGGAUGUUCUCAUCAAUAAUGGACAGCUCUGCACUAUCCUGUUCAGUAACAGAACGGCUUGCAUCAGCCUCUUUUCCCAAGAUGUCAUCAUUUUGAUCCUCCUCAUCCUCCUCUUCCUCAUUAGUGAAUUUUGCUUCUUUAAUUUUUUUGUACAGUUCAUUCCUCUCUUCCUGCAGCGCUCUGCAAAGGUUCUCUAGCCUCUGGAUUUUCAGCACAAAGCACUCGUACUCCUUAGCCCUCAUUGCUUUCUGUGAUCAAAUCAAAAUCAGGCAAAGAUGUAGGAAAAUGGAGUUCAUAUUCAUGAGGUUCACACACGUA